rnacentral:rRNA from 1 species
GACGAACGCUGGCGGCGUGGAUUAGGCAUGCAAGUCGAACGGUAUCAUCCUUUCGGGGGUGAGAGAGUGGCGAACUGGUGAGUAACACGUAGGUUAUCUACCCUCAAGACGGGGACAACCCAGGGAAACUUGGGCUAAUACCGGAUGUGAGCAACUUUUAGUUGUUUGAAAGGUGGCGUAAGCUGUCGCUUGGGGAUGAGCCUGCGUCCUAUUAGUUAGUUGGUGAGGUAACGGCUCACCUAGGCAAUGAUAGGUAGGCGGCCUUAACGGGUGGUCGCCCACACUGGGAUUGAGAUACGGCCCAGACUCCUACGGGAGGCAGCAGUCGAGAAUAGUCUACAAUGGUCGGAAGACUGAUAGUGCGACGCCGCGUGAACGAUGAAUCCCUUCGGGGUGUAAAGUUCUUUUAUAUGUGAGCAGUGCUUCUUAUAUUAACAGUAUGGGGAGAGAGAUAUAGCAUAUGAAUAAGCAACGGCUAACUCCGUGCCAGCAGCCGCGGUAAG